rnacentral:rRNA from 1 species
AGAGUUUGAUCAUGGCUCAGAACGUACGCUGGCGGCACGCCUAACACAUGCAAGUCGAACGCAGUAGCAAUACUGAGUGGCAAACGGGUGAGUAUAAUGUGGGAAUCUGCCUUUUGGUUUGGAAUAACACGGGGAAACUUGUGCUAAUACCGAAUAAGCCCUUACGGGGAAAGUUUUAAUGCCGAAAGAUGAGCCCGCACUUGAUUAGCUAGUUGGUAAGGUAAAAGCUUACCAAGGCAACGAUCAUAGCUGUCUAGAGAGACAGCACAUUGGGACUGAGACACGGCCAGACUCUACGGAGCAGCAGUGGGAAUCUUGCACAAUGGGGGAAACCCUGAUGCAGCGAUGCCGCGUGAGUGAAGAAGGCCUUUGGGUUGUAAAACUCUUUCGUCGGGGAAGAAAAUGACUGUACCCGAAUAAGAAGGUCCGGCUAACUUCGUGCCAGCAGCCGCGGUAAUACGAAGGGACCUAGCGUAGUUCGGAAUUACUGGGCUUAAAGAGCUCGUAGGUGGUUAAAAAAGUUGAUGGUGAAAUCCCAAGGCUCAACCUUGGAACUGCCAUCAAAACUUUUUAGCUAGAGUGUGAUAGAGGUAAGUGGAAUUUCUAGUGUAGAGGUGAAAUUCGUAGAUAUUAGAAAGAACACCAAAUGCGAAGGCAACUUACUGGGUCACUACUGACACUGAGGAGCGAAAGCAUGGGUAGCGAAGAGGAUUAGAUACCCUCGUAGUCCAUGCCGUAAACGAUGUGUGCUAGACGUUGGAAAUAUAUUUUUCAGUG